ensembl:lncRNA
UCAUGUCAGGCAGAAGAUCCAAGAAGAACCAGAGACUUGGUUCAUCUCGACGAGGUCCUAAAGGUCUUAACAGCAAUAUUGAGAAAGAUGAAGAUGAGUUUCAGCAGAUUGCAGAGUCUGAGGAUGGGCGAAAUGUAUUUCACACCUCCACUGAUUACCAUUCAACCCAGUUUGAUCAUCCACCAAGUUCAAGCAUUGAUCAGCAAACAUCUGCAUUAGAAUGUCCUCCACAUGCAAGGGGUCACAAGGAUUCACUCAUGGAGAAUGAACUGCCAGAACGGAAAAGAAAAAUGGGAUCAACUCGCAAGACUACUGGUAGGAUUAAAGUAGAACGAAAACUUGAUGAAAUGAGGACCACUGAAGAGUUAGAUGAAGAAUAUUUAACUCAACCAAACACAUCAACCACUGAGGCACAACAUGCUUCUCUAACAGAAGAACAAUCAAAGUCAAUGAGUUUUCCUUCCGAUUUGUCCCUUCAGACAAAAAGUUCUGAAUUGGGAAAGGAGCCUGGAACAACUCUUAUGUUUGCGGUUUUAGAAAAUGAAGAAAAAGAUGCAAUUCACUAUCAAGAAAUAACCUCUCAUUCACAUGAGGUUGUAAGUGAUAUGCCUAUAGCUGAGGCAAUGGUGCCAUCUGUCCAUUCUAUUGCUGUCACAGUAGCUGAAAGUGAUUUGUUGCAGAAGGAUUCAGUCAUGUUUGAUGAACCUAGUCUCCAAGAAAUCCCAAUAGCCAGUACCUCUGGACAAAAAAGAAGGAUGGGCUCAACCCGCAGGCCUCUCAGAGGGAAAAACUGUGAAAAUGUAGGUGUGCAAGAAAAUUCAAGAAACAUGAUAGAGGAUGAAAGUAAAGCAGAAGUUAUAGACGAAGCAAAGUUCACCAUGUCAGUAGAGAUGACGCAAACAUGGGAUGAUGUGGCAAGAGAUGUUUCAACGUCCCACACAGAAUCAGCUUUGGUUUUAAAUCAGUCUCUUUUGGCUGAGAGAGCUGAGCUGAAAGAGCCUGAUGUUUCGGCAGGAACUGAAACUAUGAUCCAAUCAGUUGCUUUUCCCCUUGUUGAUUCAGAAAAGCCCCUACCCGAAACAUCUAGCCACCAUGGGACUCCUUUACUUAACAAAGGAUUGGAUUUUAAUUUUGGUUCACACACUGAGGAUUUUGUAAACAAAGUUUGGAAAGAAGCAGAAAGUAAUUUAAGUGAUAACAGCCAAUGGGUGCCUGAUACAAGAAAAGAUACAAACACAUCUUACAACUUUAGAGAUGUAAACAAAGAAGUCAAGGAGGAGGUUCUAAAACAGAAAGAGGAACUUUCUAUAAAUGAUCAUUUGAGUAAUUUAUUACCAAAACAAGAUGCACAAUUAGAGGAACUUGCGUUAAACGAUCAAGAAUAUUCUUUAAGCCAACAUGACAUAGCUACUCUAGAUAAUAACUGCGACUGUUCUAUGGCUCAACUUAUAGUAGGAGGAAGUAGAAGUUUUGGUGUGCCUGUGUCUAAUAUUAGCCAUGCAGAACCCACAGCAAUCAAUUUACCACAUGAGAUGAGUGAUGCUGCUGAAGAAAUGCAAGAGAUUCAUAUGGAAAUUAAACAAGAAAGUAAUGUUUGUGAUGUUGCUUCGAUAACAUGUGAUACUCUGACUGAUUUAGAAUGUAUUAUGGAAGAAAAUGAGGAUCCCCAAAUUUUUGCUGCAAGGGAAAAUGAGAAUACGAGCGAUCAAAGAGGAUCUGAAACCGACAAUGCAUUUGAAAUUUCAGACCAGGGUGAUGUAAGAGAUCACAAUGUAACACAAAUAAUAAUGGAUGUAAGAGAUAAUGAAAAAGAUGGAGAAACAAGCACAGAGACCAUUUGGAUUUCACACCAGAAACCUUGUGAAGUUCCAGCUGAAAAAGAGGGGCUAAUUAGAGAACAAGAGCAAUAUUCAUCAAAUAUAUCUCAAACACACAGUCCACUACAAGAUGAUGCUGGCAAGAUGCUAGAAACUGAUGAGGUUAGAAAAGGCAAAAAAGAUAGUGAGAAUGCUGCAGGUAAUGAUGUGACCACAAGGUCAGAGGAAAUAUUUAGUUUUAAAGUCUCAGCUACAGAUACAGGAUCUCACGCACAUCAACACCUGUUCAUGCAAUCUCCUGAUAAAGACGGCUAUGACUCACAUGAAAAUGUGAAUGAGAAGAGUGAAAAGGAAGGCAUACUUUUCAGUGUAGAAUCUGAGAAUGCAGCUUUUGAUAGAGGCGAGGGGAAAAGUGAAGGGACAGAAGGAAUUAAGGAUAUGGAUGCAGAACCUGUCGUGAUAUCAAAUGUGGACACUGUGUAUAAUGAUAGUGAAUCAAAAAAUAAGUCAAACAGAGAAUUAACAGGGGAACAAACUGAUACAUCCUCUGAUACAAACCUGCAAAUAUUACAGGUAUUGGAUAAUGUAUCUUCUCUGAUUGAUUCUGGUCUUCUUUUGCACGAUGUUGUCAUAAGCCCAGGAGAGAGAGAGGCAGUUCCUGAGGAAAGUGAUAUCAGCUCUUUCAUUCCUGAAGAUUCUCAAGAUUCUAACAACCUCACAACAUUUUAUCCAGAGUCCCAAGACAAUGCUGAAAGAGCAGCAGUAGGGGGAGACACAGACCUACAUUUAGAAAUUGAAGCCCAGAACAAAACAUUUAACUCAACAACCAGUGAAACAGAAGGAACAAAAGAGAACAUCCAUUAUCCUAGUGUUUUAAUGAGAGAUGUUGAAGUUAUUGGAGAUACAGGUACAGUGGAGAGUAAUAUGACUACUGAGUCAGAUUUGAUUCAAAAUGACACUUCCUCUGAUGCAAAACUGGAAGCAUUAAAAGUAUCUGACAAUGCUGAGUGUGAAGUUCAGGGAGAAACAGACCUACAUUUAGAAAUUAAAGCACAAAUCAAAACAUCUGACUCAACCAGUGAAGCAGAAGCAUCAGAAGAGAACAUCUGUGAAGCUAGCGUUUUAUUCAAAGAAGUUGAGUUUAUUGGAGA